GACGAACGCUGGCGGCGCGCUUAACACAUGCAAGUCGAGCGAGAACCAGGGCUUCGGCCCUGGGGACAGCGGCGAACGGGUGAGUAACACGUGGGUAAUCUGCCCUCGGCACCGGGAUAGCCCGGGGAAACCCGGAUUAAUACCGGAUAGCCCUUUCGGCCUUCGGGCCGGUCGGAACAGGUAGCUUCGGCCUCUGGCCGAGGAUGAGCACGCGGCGGAUUAGCUUGUUGGUGAGGUAACGGCUCACCAAGGCGACGAUCCGUAGCUGGUCUGAGAGGACGAUCAGCCACACUGGGACUGAGACACGGCCCAGACUCCUACGGGAGGCAGCAGUGGGGAAUCUUGCGCAAUGGGCGAAAGCCUGACGCAGCGACGCCGCGUGAGGGAAGAAGGCCUUCGGGUUGUAAACCUCUUUCAGGAGGGACGAAGCUACUCGGGUGAAUAGCCCAGAGGGUGACGGUACCUCCAGAAGAAGCCCCGGCUAACUACGUGCCAGCCGCCGCCGUAACAC
rnacentral:rRNA from 1 species